ensembl:lncRNA
UUGUGCGGGUGAUGUCCAGAUACUCACCCCUGCUGAACCGAGAUCAGCAGGGGAGGGCAUGGGCACUACCAGCCUUCCCCUCCCUGCCCUCCAUUUUCUCUUGCACUUACCAGCACUUACUCAUUUGAGGCCUGCAGGUUUUUUUCCCUCCCUCCCCUCUUGGAACAGCCCAUGGAGGGCUUUGGGUAAGGGAAGGAGGAUUUCUUCUCCAAGACCUCCUAUUGGUUCUUCCAGGGAAGAGGAAGAGAGGAAAAGGCUCCAGGCCUGCUUGGAAGGCUUCCUCCGGUAUGUUGAGAGGGAAAUUGGGGGCAGGAGGGAGUUCAGACAGGAGGGAGGGAAGGAAAACAUGUGUUUUCCAUGCCUGCAGGGAUACACAGUCAUGGAAAGGUGUGUGUUUUUCAGGUGGAAUCAGGUUUAAAGGGCAGCUUUUAAAUAUGUGUUUUCCAGUCUUUAACCCAAUUCCUCCUGAUUCCUCCUGCAUUUUGGCUAAACGUCUUAGCCACACACACCCUUUUAACCCGAUUAAACCCUGUUUAUAAUGCAUGUGUAGAAGGGCUCACAGUCGGUUUGCCUCGUUUUCUAAAUUUCUUUGCAGUUUCCCAUUCCAAGCACAGGAUGUUUCCUGGUUAAUUUGUCCUAUCUGAAUCAAGUAACAGGGACACCAAAUUUGGUAGCUCCUCCUUACAUUAUAUUACUACGGUAAUCUACCCUUUCCUCUUUAUUUCAGCUUUCAGCUCUUUUCCAUUAGAGAAACAGUGCCCUGUUGUUUUGGAACCAGAGAAAGUAUGCAGGUUUUGCCCAGCCCUAUUCAGAUGUUCCCGCUAUUUCCCAAGAUCCUGUAUUUGAUGCCUGUAUUUGAAGCUAAUAUCCUCCUGAAUAAAGAGCACUGUAUGAAUUUCCCAGUGAAGAUUUAUUGUGGAGACCCUGCCCUGUGUGCUAGUGAGCAUAUUUUGUCACUAAAAUUAGAACAGGGGUUGGGAACUGCCAUCAGCAGAGCAAAACUAAAUUCUCUUAGGUAUUCUUACAUCACCCCUCUCCACCUCCCCUAUCUUUCUCUGACAUGGAUUCAGUUAAAAAAACUGACUGUAAUCCGAACAGCAAUCAAAAGUCUUCUCAAGAAAGAAGCAUUCGACAUUUCGACAUUUCCUUCCAGCAGCUCGCUUGCUGCCCACAGGUGCUGACAUUCAUGUAUUCACUCUUUCUGUUUUAACAUGUGAAGAAAAUGUUGAGACUGAACAAAAUGUGGUAGAUUACUGAAUGAGAACAAAUGUGAAGGAUUCCAGAAUAUGAAUUCAGCGGAAGUUCUGAAAAGUCCAUUAGGCAUUACAUUAAAAAUCCUUUAAUAAUGCCUGACAUUUUUAAAAUGAAAAGCCAAUAAAAGAGGGUACAUUUGGGAUAAAGGAAAGAUAUAGCAGCUUGUGGAUGGCAUCUUUAGCUCCAACUAGAGGGGCCGCAGUGGCGCAGAAGAUCGAACCACUAAGCUGUAGAAUUAGCUGACCAGAAGGUCGGCAGUUCAAAUCCGCAAGAUGGGGUGAGCUCUUGUUGUUAGCACCAGCUUCUGGCAACGUAGCAAUUCAAAAACAUGCAAAUGUGAGUAUAUCAGUAGGUACUGCUUUGGUGGGAAGGUAAUGGCACUCCAUGCAGUCAUGCAGCCACAUGACUUAGAAAGUGUCUACAGACAACGUCGGCUCUUCAGCUUAGAAAUGGUAAUGAGCACCAUCCCUAAGUUGGAAUCGACUAGACUUAAUGUCUUUACCUUUACCUUAGAGGAAGCCUAUUUAAUCAAUUGGUAUAUAAUGAGUUGACAAAUGUAUUUGAUUUAAUGAAUCUAUUCUAGCCAGGAAUAAAAAUAGGAUUUAGGCCAUUGUUUGUAUGUGUGCGCACACAUGUACAUUACUAGCAUUGAAUUCUUUUCCUAGUAGUUUCUUUCUGAUCAAUAGUACAUCCCAGCUAUUUUCUAACUGUUCCAAAUUCAUAUUUACAAGGAUAGCGCUUUGUCAAGAACCCCAUGGGGUGUGAAUAAGCAGUGAGAGGAUUCUAAGUGGAAGAGCAGUUGGUAAAGAACUCCUUCCCAAACACUCAAAAUCAUGGCCUCCCAUGAUUCCUCUCAUUUUCAUCUUUGAAAAAUGAGUUUAAUUACAUGCCUUUGUGUGUAGUUGGCUGGUCAGGUCUCUCUUUGGAAGCGCUACCUCUUAGGAAGAAAAAGCAAUCGUUAAGUGUUUACCACUCGGCCAAAAAGAUGUCUAGAUUGUCCUUCUUCCGUGUUAAAUAUGCAGAGUGAGCUGCAUGACAUCUCCAGUUUGGAAACAAAUGAGAAAUCUCAGAGGGAUUUGAGGGUCAGCGGAAGAUUUUCUGUUAUCCAUCGCCAAGGACGAUGUGUCAAGUGGUGUAUUUAUCUGCAAAGUGGAAGGGAAAUUAACAGUUCCUCAAGCAGUUCACCUGGCAUGUGCUGUGAGCAGUACAAAUGAGUGAUGCCUCACAAUAAUUACUGAGCCCAACUUUUGCAGUUCGCAAGUUACUAGCAUAUUCAUUUCACUUGUUAACGGAUUUGUUAGCUGUCCAGAGUGCACAAGGCAGAACAGAAAGCUUGUGCUGCUGUUCCUAACAUUUCUUAACAAGCUUUCCAUUUGCCUCAUGAAUGCAGAGUUGUCAGGCUACCGUGAAUCACUUUGCAGACAAUAUUAUUCACAGUACUUGCAUCUUAGUGUGUUAAAAAAUAAUGUUCUGGUGGGCUCCGCUCAUAACACUAUCUGUUUAUAGUCUGCAUACGGGACAAAAGCUGCCAAUCCUUUGUCAAAGUUGGUAACAAUUUGGGAUGUUGUUUUAUUCUCUCUGGGAAAAUGUGAAUUUAGCAUGCAGAUUUAUAAACCUUUUUGCAGUUAGUUAAAGAGACAGAUUCAUAUUGGGAUUGGUACAUUCAUUAUCACAUGGUGAUAUGUUCUCCCUUCUAUGCUGCCUUCCUGCUCUAUGAUAUACAUAGCAUGCCUUCCAGGGUUUUUUUAAUCACAAUUCUUCAAUUAUGGUAUCAUGAAGACAACAAAGGAAAGAAAAAUUUGGAGUGGGCAGUUUGCUUGUGAAUAAAGGAGAAGAGGAGCAGGUAGAGCAGGAGAGUCAGCCCCACUAAUGUCCCUGACUGCUGGUAUAUCACAACUGCAGCAGAAGGGACCUGUUUCAAAGAAGGCAGUAAUUGCAGAGUGGUAACUUCCUUAAGUUAGCUUACUUUAGAAACCAAGCCUACACAGGGAAACUGUAUAACUAGUUUCUAAAAAAGCACCAAUUUAUUUUACACAUUUGGCAUCACUUUUAACUCAGCCCAGAAAAAACAAAGGUUGAGGUGGGAUAAUAUAGAUGAAGGAUAAGAACAACACAGAUUAGGUGAGUUAGAGUUGUUAGAGGCUUCCACUGAGUUGUUAUGUGGGAUGUGGCAUGUCAGCUGUAAUUGGUGAUAUGUACUAGGAGGACAGUUGAGAGGGAGUAUAUUGAUCUCACCCACCCGCAUAAUUGAAGUUAUCAUACUUUCCCAAUGGUGUUCCCAAGUAUGCAACUUUACACACUCCUAUGGAUUAGUAGAGCUGUACCUGCAGUAGGCCAACAUGCCUAUCAAGAAUGAUGUUCAAUGUGUUGUUGAAGGCUUUCACAGCCAGAAUUACUGGGGUAUUGAAUGUUUUCUGGACUGUAUGGCCGUGUUCUAGCAACAUUUUCCCUGGAGAUUUCACCUGCCUCUACAGCUGGCAUCUUCAGAAGAAUGACGUUAAUUAUGGGAGGAAGGAAUUCGAAGAUACAUGUCUGUGUGAAAUAUAUGGGGUCUCUCUAUAGCAGAGAGAGACAACCAUCCAAGGCCCAUGAUGCCAUAUAUGCCACUCACUGCACCUAAGAAGACCACUCAUCCCUGAAAUCCCAACUAGGUUUUUUUAAACUAUCUUAAAAUUUAAAAUAUUUUAUCCCAAAUUCUGCAGUCUGGAAGCAAAAUUUCACCAUGCCCCCCUAUUCCAGCUAUUUUUACACUCAGCUGUUUUUAUGAACAAGGAAGUGAAAGCAUAACUCGUUUUCAGUGUUUCCUGGUUCUUCUGGGCGUAAAACAGCCUGUCCCUCUCUCUAAAAUGCGGGGAAACAUUCACCACAACACCAUGAGAGGCAUUUGAGGAAAUGAACGCUAUUAAAAAUAAAUUAUUUUGGGAGGAGCUAGGGAGAACGCAGCUGAAAUCCUGUUGGGCAUUUACAAAAACAUAAUCUACAUCCAUAAGUGUUAUGUGUUACUGAUCCCUAUGUAGCCCUUAGUUUGCUGGUAAGUAGCCGCUUGGAUUGAUGAAGAUUCACUCUCCUAUCCAUGAAGAAAUUACCACCUAAUUUUCCCACCCUUUCCACACAGAAGUGGGAAUUUGCCCAAUAUAUUUGGGCCCCACUGUAAUGAGCUUUUCCUUUAGCAAAUGGUUGCUAAAUUCUUUGCUAACAUCAUGGCCAAAUGUUAAUAGUUAUUAGGUAGCAAUGGAAAGGAUUAAUUUGUAUUUAGUGACUUUGUUAGACACCUUCUGGUUUAGCCUGACAGUUGGCACCUGGAAAAAGACAGGAAGGCUGAGAACCACCUGAUGAAGGAAACCUUUCAUUUUAGCUACCUAAUUGUACCAUUCUCAUAAUAGGGAAGACAGAUGGGACACACAUGCACACUUUGAUUUUUGGAUUUCUUCUGCACCAUGUAACACCCAUUUGUCUUUGGGGGGACAGGAGGCACCAUAGCUAGCUGUGAGGCAGGGUUAAUUAGAUGUAGGAUAGACUGAGCAGAUCUAGUUGCAUUGAGUCCAACUAUAUCAUAAGAUGUGAGGAGAUCCCAUCCAAGAAUAAUCUGGAAUGCCUCUCUGUUUUAUGUUGUUUCUUAUAUGUUUUAUUCAGUUGUAUUUUAUAUUGUGUUUUAUUUCAUGUUCUGCUUUUUAGGCACCUUGUGCCUUGUGUAAGCCACCCCAAGUCCCUUCAGGGAGAUGGUGGCAGGAUACAAGAAUAAAGUUGUCAUUGUUAUUAUUAUUAUUAUUAUUAUUAUUAUUAUUAUUAUUGACACAACAACAUUGUAUGACACAGCAAACAAGAUAGAUAUGCUGGGUUUCGUAUCACAAAAUCACAAGUCGAACACUUCCCAAGUGUCUAGGACUGUGUGAUGUAUUUUCGGAUGAUGCGCGCAGAUCCCAGUAGGGUGGCCUUUUGCAGCUGGCAGAUCAUAAUUUUGUCAAUGUCUAUUGUUUCCAAAUGCCGGCUGAGAUCUUUUGGCAUGGCACCCAAUGUGCCGAUCACCACUGGGACCACCUGUACUGGUUUCUGCCAGAGUCUUUGAAGUUCAAUCUUAAGGUCCUGAUAGCGGCUGAGUUUUUCCUGUUGUUUUUCGUCAAUGCGACUGUCACCUGGGAUGGCGACAUCAGUGAUCCAAACCAGACUGUGAUGUCUGGUGUGUUGUGUUACAGAACUUUGUCAGUCUGGAUUCGGAAGUCCCACAGUAUCUUUGCAUGCUCGUUUUCCAAUACUUUUGCAGGUUUGUGAUCCCACCAGUUCUUUACUGCUGGGAGGUGGUACUUGAGGCAGAAGUUCCAAUGAAUCAUUUGGGCCAUAUAGUUGUGCCUCUGAUUGUAGUCUGUCUGUGCGAUUUUCUUAC